AAGACCGUACUUACUAGGAUCAUUUCUAUAGUACGCGUCCCGUCUUUGUUCCUCAACAAAGGCACACACUAAAGCCAUGAUGAUGAGCUGCAGUGUUCUUCCUUGAGCGUGAAGCCUUGGUGUUUGCUGGAUUUCGAUCAAGCGAACGUCUAUUGAUGAACGUUCCUGUUGCUCUAAGGAGUGACAUGGAGGGGAAGGACGCCAGCUGAGUGGC